CGUGCAGGUGGUUCGUUAAGUCUGGCGUGAAAGCCUCCGGGCUCAACCUGGGAACUGCAUUCAAAACUGACAAGCUAGAGUAUGGUAGAGGGUGGUGGAAUUUCCUGUGUAGCGGUGAAAUGCGUAGAUAUAGGAAGGAACACCAGUGGCGAAGGCGACCACCUGGACUGAUACUGACACUGAGGUGCGAAAGCGUGGGGAGCAAACAGGAUUAGAUACCCCCGUA
rnacentral:rRNA from 1 species